rnacentral:rRNA from 1 species
UACGUAGGGGGCAAGCGUUGUCCGGAUUUAUUGGGCGUAAAGAGCGUGUCGGCGGCCAGGUAGGUCUGCUGUGAAAACUCGAGGCUUAACCUCGAGCUGUCGGCGGAAACCAUCUGGCUAGAGUCCGGAAGAGGAGAAUGGAAUUCCCGGUGUAGCGGUGAAAUGCGCAGAGCUCGGGAAGAACAUCGGUGGCGAAAGCGCUCUGCUGGACUGCAACUGACACUCAGGGACGAAAGCUAGGGGAGCGAAUGGG